UACGGAGGGUGCGAGCGUUGUUCGGAAUUACUGGGCGUAAAGCGCGUGUAGGCGGCCUGCUAAGUCUGAUGUGAAAGCCCAGGGCUCAACCUUGGAAUUGCCUUUGAUACUGGCUGUCUUGAGUUCGGGAGAGGUGAGUGGAAUGCCGAGUGUAGAGGUGAAAUUCGUAGAUAUUCGGCGGAACACCAGUGGCGAAGGCGACUCACUGGCCCGAUACUGACGCUGAGGCGCGAAAGCGUGGGGAGCAAACAGG
rnacentral:rRNA from 1 species